rnacentral:rRNA from 1 species
CUACGGGCCGCUCCAGGCGGGAAACCUUUACAAUGCACGCAAGUGCGAUAAGGGGAUCCAAAGUGCUCAUACAUUGUAUGGGCUUUUGCCAAGUGUAAAUAACUCGGCGAAUAAGUGGUGGGAAAGACCGGUGCCAGCCGCCGCGGUAACACCGGCGCGCACAAGUGGUGAUCACAUUUAUUGGGCCUAAAGCGUUCGUAGCCGGCUAAAUAAGUUCUCUGUGAAAUCGUACAGCUUAACUGUACGGCGUGCAAAGAAUACUGUUUAGCUAGAGACUGGGAGAGGUAAGAGGUAUUUCUGGACAAGCGGUUAAAUGUUAUAACCCUAGAAGGACCAUCGAUGGCGAAGGCAUCUUACUAGAACAGGUCUGACGGUGAGGAACGAAAGCCAGGGGAGCAAUCCGGAUUAGAUACCCCGGUAGUC